rnacentral:lncRNA from 1 species
AUGAGCACAUCCCAAAUGCAACCAAUGUUGGGCCCGGCUUUCUUUGAGAUCGUAUACACAGCAAAAAUGGGGAGUGGUUUCCCCAUAAUCCUCUUAGCACCAAAAUAUAACAAACCCUAAUAUCCUUUUCCCUUUUCCCUUGAGAUCGAUGGCAGCCUUCAUCACCUUCGAAGCUCCCUCUUGUCGGCAAUCGGCUACCCUCCGAAGACUCUCUCUCCCUCUCUGAUUUCGGUACCAUCAUCCCUUCACAACUCGUGGUCUAUAGGCUUAUAUCAUUUGGAACUUGCUGUCUGGGAGGCUGGAGUGGUCAUGGGUCGAGAUACAUGGAAUCUCAAUACAAGCUUAUGGUUUAUGUACACAUGGUUUACGAAACACUUAACAAAUGAGUUAUGCUUCCGCUGUAUUCAAUGAAUGAUAUGUAACGUUUGUAAUACUUUACGUUAAUGAAUGAAAGUUUUAUUUAAUUAUAUUUAUGAGUUCAAUGUGAUUGGUGGCUUGGAUUCUGGUACGUCACACGCCUCGCGGAGGUUUCCGCAUGUGGUAUUUUGGG